CCCUUCUCUCUAGAACUGACUUCAUUUCCGCUGCUGCGGAGCCGUGGGAGCUGAGCUAGCAUAUUGGAAACAUCAUCCAGGAAUCGGCACAGCCCCGUUUACACUUGUCUUCUGAAACUGGAAUGGAAGGUGAACAAUAGAGACCUGUUCAAAGGGAGUCGUUUUCUGGCUCGAAUAUAAAAUGAAAUAAAUUUAUAUGCUUGAGGGCAGGGUUGACUGCUAUCCACGGAACAGGCUUUUGCUGCCUGGGACCGCGUCAUCGCGAUAACAGUGGCACUUGCUAUUACGUUAUAGUCACGAAGCCACUCAAGUGCUCGCGGGCCAGUGUCGGAGCCAGGAAUCCUCCACAAACAAUAAAUAUGCUGUGUCGGCGACUUGAGAAACAGAGUAGACACCAUGCAAAUACUGGAGGUGUCACUCACUUCUUAGAGGGUUCUGCUGCCUUGUCCGUCAUUGCAAGUCUCCCCUUACCGGAAAACACGGCUGGAAGUAAACGUUCGUGCUCUUGGGAAAAGGAACGACUUUACUGGGCCUCUGUCGACCUUUUAGAGUCACUAGGAGCCCCAGUAGGCUUUGGAGGUCAUCUGAAGUCUCUUGUUUUGGGUGUGAAGCAUCAGGUGAGAAGCUGAGAAGCGGCAGCAGUUCAGUCUCCUUAAGGCCUUGCCAGUGUGAAGUUGGAGCAGAGGCACCCCUGCGGCCCUCAUCCAUGCCCUCAUCCCUACACUGGGCUCUGUGUUCAGCUACGACAACCCUCUGCUUGUUCUUCUGGCUAAGCAGGAUACACUUUAUCCAGUUCUUUGGAAUUGCAACCUGGGAGACGACCAUCUAAAAUUUAUAUUGUUCCUUUCUUGAAAUUAAAGCGAAGAAACCAACACCAGAGGAGAUCCUUCUACACAUAGAAGCCGGAAAAAUAAUCCUAGUGCUGUUGAAAACAGGAUUAAGGUAAUUACAGAAUGACCAGGAGAGAAAACGUGAAGCACAAACUAAAACCCAGCACAGUUAGAGAAUAAGCUUUGCAUGGAGCUCCUGGAGCUUUCUGAGAAGGGCUGCCCAGCACUUCAGUAAGCUUCGCUGCCAUCCACUACCUGUGUCCCUGUGCCCAGAAUUCAGGAGGUCUUAAAGUGCCAUCUGCUCCCUCCACACCCUCACAGGUCCGGAGACUCUGAGAGUCUGAAAAAUGCAGUGUGUAAUCCCUCCCUGCCUGCCCCAGGACUGCUCCAGUCAGGGUCCAGGAAGUCCCUGGACUUUUCAUUUGUUUGGAAGUGGAGGUUGAGCAGAAGAUAGAUUCCAGAUCACGGCCUCAGAAAAUUCCAGAAGAAAUCAGAAAAUCUGACAGGUCAUUUGAGCUUCUAAUAUUUUAAUACAAAGAGCGUCAUGAAGCCUGCCUAAACUUCCUCCUGCAUAACCACAGUAAUCACAAGGUUGCUCACUGCUUUCAAACACCCCACCAUUUUUGACUCAAAGUUUGCAAAAUGUCUCUUUUCAAGCAAACUAAACCUCCCUUUCCUGUAACAGCCUUUCGUUGACCCCAGAGGCCUCUAGGUCAUGAAGGAUACACUAUCCCUUCUGCAGUAACUUUCUAUGGUUCUGCUUAAAAAAGACGGACCGCUGAGAGUAGUCACAGUGUGCUGCUGUCUGGUAGGUGUCCUUCAGUCACUUACCUGGUGAAUACAACCCUGGUACUCUAAACCUAUUAAAAUGUCCUUGGGUGGGGAGGUCGUCAACCCUAGGCAUGACCUCACUAUUAUUAGCUAAAUUGACAGGGCACCAAACUGUAGGGUAAAUCCUAUUGUUUACAUCCACAGACAAGUUCUACUUUUAUUCUUCAUCCGAAACAUCUCUCCAAAGGGAACAACAGUGAGUGCAGAGACGCCCGGGUGCCCAAGGUAAUUGGGAUACAUGAUGGUUGAAUACGUAGCCUGAAGCAGGACCUUUAUGCCACCCUUUCUAAGGCUCAGGAAAUACUGCAAUGCAAGAGCUAGAAAAUGGGUAAAGGAGACAGAAAACAUUCUCCUCCAAUCAUGACACAGUCACAGCAAACGUGAUCUCACAGGGCUGGACCAACAAAGACUGGGCUGGUCAUCAACCCCAUGGAAGAGUGACUCCGGAGGCCCUACAGCUCCUUCCUGAGCUCCUGGCAGCUGAUCAGUGCUGGGGUAGAGACAGUCAGCAGAGGCUGCGUCCUCCAAGCUUCAGUUGGAGAGCGCCUCACUCCUAGCCACACAGAUGGCCCUGGUUAAAAUCAGUGGGCAACAAAACAAAACAAAAGGGCUUGAGUGUGGAAAAGGGAAUCUGUAAGGAAGAGAGGGAAAUAACCAGGCAGGAUGGGAGGGAGGUAACAGAGAGCAGAAACAGAAUGAGGUUGUCAAAGAAAAAAAAAUUCAUCACUAAGAGAUAUACUGUUAAUGAAACAAUUACAAGGAUACUAAUGGCAUAGAAUUAAAAGUGGAUUAAGCCCUAAUUACUGGAUCAUAAACAGGCAACCACGCAGUCUUUAUGGGGCCUUAGAGAACGGUCUUAGAGGCCAUUCUGAGAAUGACUAGCCUAUUACAGAUGACUUGGGAUUGAUUCCACACCUAUCCUCCUUAGCCUUGCCUGCUCAGCAAUGAUGAGAUCUCUCCUUUUAGACACAAUAUAGUGAAGAUUCAAAAGUACAUUUCUCUCUGAAUCUAAACAUACAUGAUUUCAAUUUUUUCCUUGGAAAAAUAAGAUUUUACACGUAUUAGGUAAACAUAUAACUGAUCAUAGGACCUCCACAGUGUAAGACAUCAUUGUCCAUGUAAGGAAAGCAAGAAAAGUUUUAAAUGUAAAAAAUGCUAAAGACCGAUCAGGGAAAUGCAAAUCCAGACAAUUUUAAGAUACCAUCUUACACCUGUCAGAAUGGCUAAAAUCAAAAACACCAAUGAUAGCCUUUGCUGGAGAGGUUGUGGAGAAAGGGGUACACUCAUCCAUUGCUGGUGGGAAUGCAAACUUGUGCAACCACUCUGGAAAGCAGUGUGGAGGUUUCUCAGGAAAUUCGGGAUCAACCUACCCCUGGACCCAGCAAUACCACUCUUGGGAAUAUACCCAAGAGAUGCCCUAUCAUACAACAAAAGUAUAUGCUCUACUAUGUUCAUAGCAGCAUUGUUUGUAAUAGCCAGAACCUGGAAACAAGCUAGAUGACCUUCAAUGGAAGAAUGGAUGAAGAAAGUAUGGAAUAUAUACAUAUUAGAGUACUACACAGCAGUAAAAAACAAGGACUUCUUGAAGUUUGCAAACAAAUGGAUGGAAAUAGAAAACACUAUCCUGAGUGAGGUAAGCCAGACCCAAAAAGAGGAACAUGGGAUGUACUCACUCAUAUUUGGUUUCUAGCCAUAAAUAAAGGACAUUGAGCCUAUAAUUCGUGAUCCUAGAGAGGCUAAAUAAGAAGGAAAACCCAAAGAAAAACAUAUAGGCAUCCUCCUGUAUAUUAACCUUCAUCAGGCAAUGAAAGGAGACAGAGACAGAGACAGAGACCCACAUUGGAGCACCGGACUGAAAUCUCAAGGUCCAAAUCAGGAGCAGAAGGAGAGCGAACAUGAGCAAGGAAUGCAGGACCGCGAGGGGUGCACCCACACUGGGACAAUGGAGAUGCUCUAUCGGGAACUCACCAAGGCCAGCUGACCUGGGUCUGAAAAAGCCUGGGUUAAAACAGGUCUCACUGAACAUAGCGGACAAUGAGGACUACUGAGAACUCAAGAACAAUGGCAAUGGGGUUUUGAUCCUACUGCAUGUACUGGCUUUGUGGGAGCCUAGGCAGUUUGGAUGCUCACCUUACUGGACCUGAAUGGAGGUGGGUCGUCCUUGGACUUCCCACAGGGCAGGGAACCCUGGAUUGCUCUUUGGGCUGAUGAGGGAGGGGGACUUGAUCACGAGAGGGGGAGGGAAAUGGGAGGCGGUGGCAGGGAGGAGGCAGAAAUCUUUAAUAAAUAAAUUUAAAAAAUGCUAAAGACAAGGGAAUAGUUUUUUUAAAUGUUACAAUGUUUUAUGAUAUUGAUUUCACAUUUAGACAAUAGUAUUUAAACUGUAAAUGAUUCAUAUUAAUCACUAAUAAAUUUUUAAUAUUACAAUA